rnacentral:lncRNA from 1 species
UCUCCAGACUGCGUGUGAGCACAGAGGAGGGACCGCUUUCCAAAUGCACUUCACUCUGAGAGGCCUCCGAUGCUCUGUCAUCAGUGCUCACUCCCUCCACGGACGAGGAGACCCCAGGCGGAUUGUUAACAUCAACCAAAGCCCUAAAAGUGAUUCUGGCAGCAAAUGAGCGCGUCUCUGAGAAGCAGGUGAAGAGCCCAGGACUCAGCUGGACACAUUGGCAGCUGCAGGCCUGAGAAGACCCCACCGGGCAGGAUGCCCCCGGCUGUCCCCCAGGGACCCCAGCUUUGAAGGCGUGUCCCCCAAAUUUCCUUGACUGGGAUCCUGGCAGGAAACAGAUGGCUCAUGAAAGGAGUCAUUGUGAGGACUGUCAGCAGAAGCAGGAACAGAGCAAGAAAACCAGCAAGGGGAUGAUGAGGCACCCGGGGGCUGGCAGCAGAGCGAAGCUGCUCCCACCUGAGGCUUCACCACGAGGGAGGAGAGCCCAGCCCAGCCCAGGCACAUUGCUGGCCACCACAGAUAAAUGUUCGCUCUGAAUUGCAGGGACCACCAUUUCCAAAUUAAAGUAGCCACUGUCUGAAAGAUGCAAGCCUGCGGCUUCCCGGAGUGAGAGGCAGCUGGAGAGAUGGUGUUGAGAUGCCGCAAAGAUCAGAAACGCUGGAACAUUUCAGCAGCUUUGGGGGACAGAGUAUCUGA